UGAGUAACCUGCCCUUAACUCUGGGAUAAGCCUGGGAAACUGGGUCUAAUACCGGAUAUGACUCCUCAUCGCAUGGUGGGGGGUGGAGAGCUUUAUUGUGGUUUUGGAUGGACUCGCGGCCUAUCAGCUUGUUGGUGAGGUAAUGGCUCACCAAGGCGACGACGGGUAGCCGGCCUGAGGAGGGUCGACCGGCCACGACGUGGGACUGACGACACGGCCCAGACGUCCGUACGGGGGCAG
rnacentral:rRNA from 1 species